UGAAACGUUGGCGGCAUGGAUUAGGCAUGCAAGUCGAAACGCGUGUAGCAAUACACGAGUGGCGAAGGGACAGUAAUGUCGUAGAUACGUACCCUCCGGUCGGGAUAGUCCGCAUCGAAAGACGGGGGGUAAUACCAGAUAACGUCUCCGGACCAAAGGUGUGAUUCCACCGGUGGAGCGGUCUGCGUCCUAUUAGCUUGUUGAUGAGGUAAUGGCUCACCAAGGCAAUGAUGGGUAGCGGGUGUGAGAGCACGACCCGCGUCACUGGGACUGAGAUACUGCCCAGACACCUACGGGUGGCUCUGCAGUCGAGGAUCUUCGGCAAUGGACGCAAGUCUGACCGAAGCGAUGCCGCUGUGCGGGAUGAGAAGGCUUUCGGGUUUGUAAACCGCUGUCAGUGGGGAGGGAAAUCUAGAUACGUAAUCGUAGCUAGUUGACCUAUCCGCAGAGGAAGCAAGGGCUAAGUUCGUGCCAGCAGCCGCGGUAAGACGAACCUUGCUAACGUUAUUCGGAAUUACUGGGCUUAAAGGGUGCGUAGGCGGUUGCAGAAAGUCGGGUGUGAAAUCCUCCAGCUCAACUGGAGAACUGCGCGCCCGAAACUGCUGUGCUUGAGAAAGAUAGAGGUACGCGGAACUUAGGGUGGAGCGGUGAAAUGCAGUUGAUAUCCUAAGGAACACCGGUGGCGAAAGCGGCCGACUGGGUCUUUUCUGACCGCUUGAGGCACGAAAGCCAGAGGUAGCGAACGGGAUUAGAUACCACGCGGUAGUCCUGGCCGUAAACUCUGAGCACUUGAUUGAAGGGUCCUCCAUAGCCCUUCAGUCGGAGCGAAAGCGUUAAGUGCUCCGCCUGGGGAGCUAUGGUCGCAAGGCUGAUAACUCAAGAAAUUGAAGGGGGCUCACACAAGCGGUGGAGGAUGUGGCUUAAUUUCGAGGCUACGCGAAGAACCUUAUCCUAAGUCUUGACAUGGUGGAGAUUAACCGCUGGAAACAGCGGCCACGCCUUCGGGGUGGAACCAUCACAGGUGCUGCAUGGGCUGUCGUCAGCUCGUGGUCGUGAGAUUGUGCGCGUUAAGCUCGCUUAACGAGCGAAAGCCCUUGUCUCGCAGUGCCAGCGGGUCAUGCCGGGGGACUCUGGAUGAGACUGCCGGUGUUAAACCGGAGGAAGGUUGGGGAUGACGUCAAGUCCUCAUGGCCUUUAUGACAUAGGGCUGCACACGUCCUACAAUGGCACGCAUAAAGGGACGCAAAGUCGCAAGACCAAGCAAAUCCCAAAAAACGUGCCCCCAGUUCGGAUUGCAGGUCUGCAACCCGCCUGCAUGAAGCCGGAAUCGCUAGUAAUCGCGGAUCAGAAUGCCGCGGUGAAUGUGUUAGCCUGAGCCUUGUACACACCGCCCGUCAAGCCACGAAUAGUGGGGGGUAUCCGAAGUCGCCGAUGCAACCGCAAGGAGCUAAGCGCCGAAGAUAAACUCCGCGAUUGGGACU
rnacentral:rRNA from 1 species